GGGGAGGAUUCGAUGGAGCACCUCCAAGCAUUAAUGACUGCUGAACAGAUGGAUGUAAAAUUUGCGAAGGGACUCCUGGCAUACUAGGAUGUCGCACCAUUGGAAGAAGUGGAUUGGGUGAAGCUAGAGAAACAGUACGUAAGCUUCCGUGUCAGGAUGGCGUGACGUUUGAAAAGUAGAAGACACAAGACCUUGUUGUAAAAUGUCUACUGUCACAUAAACCCAAUCUUUUAUGUUAACACACAUUUAACAUUUUACCACUCUCUUGUUGUAUGGUCUUCAUCGGAAAUGUGCCUGAAUAAUUUAAAAAUAAAAUGAUUGCUUUUUAACGAAAUAAAAUUUCUUACCUUGUGCGUUUAGCGUUUUACAUUCAGCCUUUUGAUUUUCCUACGAAAUAAAAACAAUUCAACUGUUCUUCAGAAUGUUGCAACCGUUUACCAUGUCUCCCUGAAGGUCACCAUGAAUUGUUGUAUUGGUAGACGCAUCUGGAAAACCAGUUGGUUUCGGACCUUCCUUUAUCCAUGGUGAUGAAGCAGGAACAGUACUACUAGUC